rnacentral:rRNA from 1 species
CACCGGCAGCUCAAGUGGUGGCCGCUUUUAUUGGGCCUAAAGCGUUCGUAGCCGGCCUGAUAAGUCUCUGGUGAAAUCCCGCAGCUUAACUGUGGGAAUUGCUGGAGAUACUAUCAGGCUUGAGGCCGGGAGAGGCUGGAGGAACUCCCAGGGUAGGGGUGAAAUCCUAUAAUCCUGGGAGGACCACCUGUGGCGAAGGCGUCCAGCUGGAACGGACCUGACGGUGAGUAACGAAAGCCAGGGGCGCGAACCGGAUUAGAAACCCUUGUAGUCC